rnacentral:piRNA from 1 species
UUUUUUAAUAUACUAUUUACA